UCGUUCAGCAGGUCCGGCAUG
rnacentral:misc_RNA from 1 species